UGUGUGUGCGGUGUUCGAGACGAGCGACGAAGCUCGAGUGCUGUGCGAAGACGUGCGAGCGACAAGGUUCGCGUUGGAGUGGGUGCGAAGGCUGCGCGACGAGCACUAGAGUGGUGUGCGAGCGGUCCGGGCCGUGAGGCUGCUGUGGUGGUGCGCAGCUAGUGGGUCGCCGGAGUUGCCCCGCCGGCGAGUCUAGUGGUUCAAAACCAAUAGGUCCCAAUUUCAUAAGCGGAACGUUCGAUUAAGACAGCGAAAAUUCUCCGUUACAAGACUAGGUGUGCUGGUGCUGCUGCAUAAUCUCGAGCAUACGGGGACUAGGCUUGGGUAUUUACAUUUAAAGCAUUUUGAAAUAAGUAUUAUUGGUUUUUCCAAGACUUAUAUAUGGUUUGUGGUUUGAAUGAAAGGGGUCAUUGAUGAUUCCCGAGUUGUAUUUAUAUUUUAAUUCCGCUGCAUUUUAGUUUUCAAGUUAAUGUUUUAAGUUAUCGUUAACCGUUAUUAUGCCUUGCGUUCCAUCGCGGCGGUAACGCGCCCAAAGUCAACGCGACGCAGCAGUGGUAGGCGCGCGUGGGUUUUGGGGGUGU